GGACUACACGGGUAUCUAAUCCUGUUUGCUACCCACGCUUUCGUGCAUCAGCGUCAGUAAUGGUCCAGAAAGCCGUUUACACCACCGGUGUUCCUCCUGAUAUCUACGCAUUUCACCGCUACACCAGGAAUUCCACUUUCCUCUCCCACACUCUAGCCCCUCAGUAUCCGGCGCACCCUCCCAGUUGAGCCGGGAGAUUUCACACCAGACUUAAGAAGCCGCCUACGCACCCUUUACGCCCAGUAACUCCGAACAACGCUUGCUGCCUACGUAUUACCGCGGCUGCUGGCAC
rnacentral:rRNA from 1 species